rnacentral:rRNA from 1 species
AUUGAACGCUGGCGGCAUGCCUUACACAUGCAAGUCGAACGGCAGCACGGAAGCAAUCCUGGUGGCGAGUGGCGAACGGGUGAGUAAAGUAUCGGAACGUGCCCAGUCGUGGGGGAUAACGUAGCGAAAGUUACGCUAAUACCGCAUACGAUCUAUGGAUGAAAGCGGGGGAUCGCAAGACCUCGCGCGAUUGGAGCGGCCGGUAUCAGAUUAGGUAGUUGGUGGGGUAAAGGCUCACCAAGCCGACGAUCUGUAGCUGGUCGUGAGAGGACGACCAGCCACACUGGGACUGAGACACGGCCCAGACUCCUACGGGAGGCAGCAGUGGGGAAUUUUGGACAAUGGGCGCAAGCCUGAUCCAGCCAUGCCGCGUGCAGGAUGAAGGCCUUCGGGUUGUAAACUGCUUUUGUACGGAACGAAAAGGUUUGACUUAAUACGUUGGACUCAUGACGGUACCGUAAGAAUAAGCACCGGCUAACUACGUGCCAGCAGCCGCCGUAA